rnacentral:rRNA from 1 species
GACGAACGCUGGCGGCGUGCCUAAUACAUGCAAGUAGAACGCACAGUUUAUACCGUAGCUUGCUACACCAUAGACUGUGAGUUGCGAACGGGUGAGUAACGCGUAGGUAACCUGCCUGGUAGCGGGGGAUAACUAUUGGAAACGAUAGCUAAUACCGCAUAAUAUUAAUUAUUGCAUGAUAAUUAAUUGAAAGGUGCAAUUGCACCACUACCAGAUGGACCUGCGUUGUAUUAGCUAGUAGGUGAGGUAACGGCUCACCUAGGCGACGAUACAUAGCCGACCUGAGAGGGUGAUCGGCCACACUGGGACUGAGACACGGCCCAGACUCCUACGGGAGGCAGCAGUAGGGAAUCUUCGGCAAUGGACGAAAGUCUGACCGAGCAACGCCGCGUGAGUGAAGAAGGUUUUCGGAUCGUAAAGCUCUGUUGUAAGAGAAGAACGGGUGGGAGAGUGGAAAGUUCACACUGUGACGGUAUCUUACCAGAAAGGGACGGCUAACUACGUG